rnacentral:rRNA from 1 species
UACGUAGGGUGCGAGCGUUAAUCGGAAUUACUGGGCGUAAAGUGUGCGCAGGCGGCCGAGCAAGUCGAGUGUGAAAGCCCCGAGCUUAACUUGGGAACUGCGCUCGAAACUACUUGGCUAGAGUGUGGCAGAGGGAGGUGGAAUUCCACGUGUAGCGGUGAAAUGCGCAGAUAUCAGGAAGAACACCCGUGGCGAAGGCGGCUCUCUGGGACGGUACUGACGCUGAGACGCGAAAGCGUGGGGAGCGAACAGG